GACGAACGCUGGCGGCGUGCUUAACACAUGCAAGUCGAACGGAAAGGCCCUGCUUUUGUGGGGUGCUCGAGUGCGAACGGGUGAGUAACACGUGAGUAACCUGCCCUUGACUUUGGGAUAACUUCAGGAAACUGGGGCUAAUACCGGAUAGGAGCUCCUGCUGCAUGGUGGGGGUUGAAAAGUUUCGGCGGUUGGGGAUGGACUCGCGGCUUAUCAGCUUGUUGGUGGGGUAGUGGCUUACCAAGGCUUUGACGGGUAGCCGGCCUGAGAGGGUGACCGGCCACAUUGGGACUGAGAUACGGCCCAGACUCCUACGGGAGGCAGCAGUGGGGAAUAUUGCACAAUGGGCGGAAGCCUGAUGCAGCAACGCCGCGUGCGGGAUGACGGCCUUCGGGUUGUAAACCGCUUUCGCCUGUGACGAAGCGUGAGUGACGGUAAUGGGUAAAGAAGCACCGGCUAACUACGUG
rnacentral:rRNA from 1 species